rnacentral:rRNA from 1 species
CUAGUAGGUGGCCAACUAAGUCAGACGUGAAAUCCCUCAGCUUAACUGGGGAACUGCUUCUGAUACUGGAUGGCUUGAGUUUGGGAGAGGGAUGCGGAAUUCCAGGUGUAGCGGUGAAAUGCGUAGAUAUCUGGAGGAACACCGGUGGCGAAGGCGGCAUCCUGGACCAACACUGACGCUGAAUAGCGAAAGCCAGGGGAGCAAACGGGAUUAGAUACCCCGGUAGUCCUGGCCCUAAACGAUGAAUGUUUGGUGUGGCGGGUAUCGAUCCCUGCCGUGCCGAAGCUAACGCAUUAAACAUUCCGCCUGGGGAGUACGGUCGCAAGGCUGAA